rnacentral:rRNA from 1 species
GACGAACGCUGGCGGCGUGCUUAACACAUGCAAGUCGAACGGAAAGGCCCUGCUUUUGUGGGGUGCUCGAGUGGCGAACGGGUGAGUAACAAGUGAGUAACCUGCCCUUGACUUUGGGAUAACUUCAGGAAACUGGGGCUAAUACCGGAUAGGAGCUCCUGCUGCAUGGAGGGGGUUGGAAAGUUUCGGCGGUUGGGGAUGGACUCGCGGCUUAUCAGCUUGUUGGUGGGGUAGUGGCUUACCAAGGCUUUGACGGGUAGCCGGCCUGAGAGGGUGACCGGCCACAUUGGGACUGAGAUACGGCCCAGACUCCUACGGGAGGCAGCAGUGGGGAAUAUUGCACAAUGGGCGGAAGCCUGAUGCAGCAACGCCGCGUGCGGGAUGACGGCCUUCGGGUUGUAAACCGCUUUCGCCUGUGACGAAGCGUGAGUGACGGUAAUGGGUAAAGAAGCACCGGCUAACUACGUG